rnacentral:rRNA from 1 species
GCUAUUGCAGCGAACUGAUCGAUCCUACACUGCCAAGAAAAGCCUCUAAACAAGAUAACCUGGUAUCCGUACUAAAACCGACACAGGUAGGUAGGUAGAGAAUACCAAGGCGCUCGAGAUAACCCUCGUUAAGGAACUCGGCAAAAUGACUCCGUAACUUCGGGAGAAGGAGUGCCCCGGUAGGGUGACCCAAUUUACUUGGUCAGCCCGAGGGGGUUGCAAAGAAACGGCCCAAGCGACUGUUUACUAAAAACACAGGUCUCUGCUAAAUCGAAAGAUGAUGUAUAGGGACUGACGCCUGCCCGGUGCUGGAAGGUUAAGGAAGGGGGUUACUCCUUAGUAAUAAGGAGGAAGCUCUUGACCGAAGCCCCAGUAAACGGCGGCCGUAACUAUAACGGUCCUAAGGUAGCGAAAUUCCUUGUCGGGUAAGUUCCGACCCGCACGAAUGGCGUAACGAUUUGGGCGCUGUCUCAACGAGGGACUCGGUGAAGUUGUAGUGUAAGUGAAGAUGCUUACUACCCGCGACAGGACGGAAAGACCCCGUGAACCUUUACUGUAGCCUGAUAUUGAAUUUUAGCAUAUCCUGUGUAGGAUAGGUGGUAGGCUGUGAAAGAGGGGCGUUAGCCUCUCCGGAGCCAUCCUUGAAAUACCACCCUUGAUAUGUUUGGAUUCUAACCUUUCGCCGUUAUCCGGCAAAGGGACAGUAUUUGGUGGGCAGUUUGACUGGGGCGGUCACCUCCUAAAGAGUAACGGAGGUGUCCCAAGGUCUCCUCAGUGUGGUUGGAAAUCA